rnacentral:rRNA from 1 species
AGAGUUUGAUCAUGGCUCAGGAUGAACGCUAGCUACAGGCUUAACACAUGCAAGUCGAGGGGAAACGACAUCGAAAGCUUGCUUUUGAUGGGCGUCGACCGGCGCACGGGUGAGUAACGCGUAUCCAACCUGCCCAUCACUUGGGGAUAACCUUGCGAAAGUAAGACUAAUACCCAAUGACGUCUCUAGAAGACAUCUGAAAGAGAUUAAAGAUUUAUCGGUGAUGGAUGGGGAUGCGUCUGAUUAGCUUGUGGGCGGGGUAACGGCCACCAAGGCGACGAUCAGGUAGGGGUUCUGAGAGGACGGUCCCCANAUUGGAACUGAGACACGGUCCAAACUCCGUACGGGAGCA